rnacentral:tRNA from 1 species
GGAAGCGGAUAGGGUCUGGUGGCCCUCGCGGUCUUCAAAACCGUAGUUAGCCGGCGACCCCGGCUUUGGCAGGUUCGAUUCCUGUCCCUUCCG